ACCGGGUGGCAUGAACGAAUUUUCCCUUUUUCUUCGCGGCAAACCGUGGGGAAAAAAUGCGUUUGGUGGCAAGAGAAAGCGAGAGUGGGGUUUGGUCGUGUGUGCCGCCGCAAGCAAUGGCGAUGUCAUCGGAGCAAGAUUACAAGCCAACGGAGACGAGGUGUCCCAAGCAGCCGCCGCCGCCGCCGCCGAUCCCGGUGGCAGAUUCACCGGUGGGUUUAGGGCCAUCUCACGGGUCCCGGUGCCGGCCGGCGCCUCCCCUGCAGCAUCAGCUACCCGACCUUGGCCGCCGCCGCCGCCCUCUUCCCGCCCACGCCGCCACUAGCUCCGCCCAGCUCCAUCUCCAAGGGCCGCGGCCGACGGUAAUAGCGAAGAAGGAGCCCGUCACCGGUAACAAUGGGACUCGAGCGGGGCUGGCAUCCGGUCGGUCUCAGGCUCCUGCUUCCCGGAGCUGCGCUAUGGCGGCCAUCGCCAAGAAUCAGCGGCCUCCCCUUGCCGGCGCGGAUGGCAGGCCCAAUCUGUUUGAGGAAUUCCGCUACAUUCCUCUUACCAAGGGGAAGGCACAAGAUCUGGUCAUGGCUGCUUGCAGUGUACAGCAGCAGCGGCACGGGAAGGCCAACACUAACUGGAAACCGCCUCGCGAUCGGCCUGCCGAAUCCUGCCUUCUCAAUCUUUGCCCUACAGUCCGAAGCACUGUGGCCAUGAAGACAACCAUUAAGCAGCAGGAGCAGCAGCAGAAGCAGAAGCAGGAAGGAAGCUCUUGUUGUCACAGCCGAACCACCACACAUUGUUGUGCAACCCCUGCGUCCUGUCCAGAUGGCAAGUUCUUCCAUGGUUGUUGUGUUCAUUCAGUCGGCGUCACUGCAGUCAGGGGGAAGAGGAAGGAAGAAUCAAGCUCUCAAGUGUCCACUCCCCUCUCUUGCGCUGAUAAUUCACAUAGCCCUUUUGACAAGUUCCGAUACAGCCCCUUCGCGGAGCGGAAAGAUCAGGAUCUGUCUGCUACUGCUACUUCCAAUUUAUGGGGGGCAUCCUCACAGUCGCUGGCACGCUGUCCUUGUGUUGGUGGUCUCAAAGUGGGGAGGAAGAGUGUGCAGGCUACCUCUCAAGAAGGCAGGCAACAUCAGUGUGCAGAUAAGAGAAGUAAGAGGCAACAUCAGUGUGCAGAUAAGAGAAGUAAGACUGCGACAGUCUCUGCAGCCAGCAAGCCCAAGAACAAGAAAUCAGUCUCUCAGCGGAAGCCUAAUAAGAAAUCAUCUGCAGUGCUCACUGCUGCUGAGAAACGGUUGGAUAUGUACCGCCGCCUGCCACCUGAUCAACUGGUGGCUCCACGCCGCUACACACCUUACAAUCUCCUCCAGGAGCGCUAUGCUCCUGAUCCUUGGAAGGUCAUCGUCAUAUGUAUGCUGCUAAACCGCACGAAAGGCAAAAUGUACAGAUCAAAGAGUUAAUAGAGGGGUUCUUUGCUCGGUAUCCUGAUGCACAAACUGCUUGCAAUGCUAAUUUAGAAGGGAUGGUGGAGUACCUGAGGCCCACGGGCUUACAGCUUGAAAAAGCAGUGAGAAUUCAAAAAUUCUCUUCUUCGUACCUCAGCUCAGAUUGGACUUACGUUACCGAGCUCCAUGGUGUUGGCAAGUAUGCAGCAGAUGCAUAUGCAAUCUUUUGCGCGGGUAGGGUGAUGGAGGUUGAACCUGAAGAUCACAAGUUAGUAGACUACUGGAAGUAUGUCUGUAAUAUCGGUGAACCUUGGGAGGAUGAAGACUCUUGUUUUGCAAUUUGAGUGGCCCAUUCUGAUGAUCGAUUCACACAAGAAGGUUGCCACCCAAGAGCAUGUUCAGGUCUGGGGACCAUGUACUGUUGAGAUUCUACCCUGCACUGAUGAGCAUCCCCUUUUGAGUUAAUUAUAUUUAGUUUUGGAACAACACCUGUGGUUAAUAUUGUGAGCAAGUGGUACUAAAGCUAAUUUAAUAGGAACUAAUUAUCUAAGAUUAUGUUAAGAAGUAACAAUCUCUCCUAAUGACGCUCAGUAAAGAUGUUUAUACAUAUUUUGGGCUUUAAGCUGUUGAGGUCUUAAUCCAAAUUUUCAUCCAGAUGUU